GACGAACGCUGGCGGCGUGCUUAACACAUGCAAGUCGAACGGAGAGGGCCUGGUUUGGUGGGGUGCUCGAGUGGCGAACGGGUGAGUAACGCGUGGGUAACCUGCCCGGGAGUUGGGGAUAACUUCAGGAAACGGGAGCUAAUACCGGAUAGGAGCUGCUGCUGCAUGGUGGGGGCUGGAAAGGUGCGACGGUUGGGGAAGGAGUCGGGGCUUAUCAGUUUGUUGGUGGGGGAGUGGAAUACCCAGGCCUUGACGGGGAGCCGGACUGAGAGGGUGACCGGCCCCAUUGGGACUGAGAUGCGACCAGGAGUCAUACGGGAGCAAGCAGUGGGGAUUAGUGCACGAUGGGCGGAAGCAUGAUGCAGCAACGCCGCGUGGUAGAUCACGGCCUUCGGGUUGUAACCCGCUUUCGCCUGUGACGAAGCGUCAGUGACGGUAAUGGAUAAAGAAGCAACGGCUAACUACGUG
rnacentral:rRNA from 1 species